UAAAUAACAAUGUGACGACUUGAAAUAUCACAAUCGAUAAAAUUUCCCUCCUCCAUCCAAAAAUCUGUUGUAUUUAAAUUUUUGUCCUGCGCAGAUAAAUUAAUUCGAUUUUCUGGCAGAAUAAUUACACUGUCAUUAAAUACUAAACUUUUUUGCAUCAAGGUGUGAAGCCGAGUUCCUUCUGCAAACCUUAAUUGAAGGAAAGAUCGAAGGAAGAAGCGGAUUGGGCAGGAAGAAAAUGUCAUGGCUCCGUAAUGUCAAACAAUGGACAGGACUAAGAAACAUAGGAGACCUAAUACAAACUUCAAGGGAUCGAGAAAAAUGGUCAGACGUGAUGGCGAACAUCCAUUAGUGGAUUUCAUAAGAAGAAGAAGAAGAAGAAGUUCUUAAAAAUUUCAAUAUAAUUUCACAAUCAAGCACAAACACGCCCUAACCACGGCGGCACACGGUUACAGGGCCUUUUGGUGAGCCUUCGGGCCGCAUUAAAAACGCUAGAGGGCCGCAGGUUGCGUAUCACUGGGCUAUAGGGCUUAGUGAAUCCCUUAUAUUAUUCGUGUGUAUUAUUAUUUGUGGUGUAAUAAAAUGGUAACUCCUCUGUGUCUAUCCCCUCCAAUCUUUUCGGAUUCGAAUGGUGCUUUUUCAAAAUUUCUUAGUGUUAAUUCAAUCAAAUAAAAUUAAUUGGUUUAUUAUUAAAUGUUUAAUUAUUAUCUCUUAUAAACAAGAUAUUAAUAAACAAGAUUAUUUUAAAGUC